AGGAGGAACAACCUCAUGGGCGGCGGCCAGCUCUGGAGCCCUGGAUUCAGCUCCCGCAGGAACUCCGGAGCUCUCCGUCCAAAGGGGCCUGGAUGCUCCGGGGCGGG
rnacentral:pre_miRNA from 1 species